CUGCUGUCAGUCACCUCUUGACCCGGAUUCGAAUUCGUGAAUAAACAUCUUUUGCUUCCUUGCAGUGGAUGAUGGUUUGAUUUUGCUGGCUAACAUUUAGAGGCUCCAGCAAGAUCUCCUCAGACGGGGAUUCCUGAGGACACCCCAUCCCAGAUCCGGAUCCUUGGAAGCCUUGCCCGGCGCUGCGACCCACAUAGUCAACGACUGCCACCUCUCCAGAUUCAAAGGAGGUCUCGAAACUUUACAUCAGGCUCAACCUGAUGCUGUUGACUGGCUACGGAAGAAGGGCAAACGCUAGAAGAAAAAGAAGUUGCGGCGGCUGGUCAGUCUCUACAGGCCUUACAGGUGGUGUGGGGGAAAGCAAGAGGCACUGUCCGAGACGUGAGGCCUGGAACCAGGAGAGAGGAGGGUCGAGAUCGCAGCCCCUUGUUUGAACCUGGUGAUUCGGUGCUGAUAAAGAAACUGCAUCCCAAUCAACUUGAGGCCGGUGGGAAGGACCCUACACUGUGAUCCUGAGCACACCGACUGCUGUGAGAGUCGCCGGAAAGCUCACUGGGUUCACCACACUCGUCUGAAAAGGGCUGUAGCUGACCCCCGAGGACAGAGGACCUAGGAAGAUGGCGUGCCGUGCCCACCAUGGACCCAAUGAAGGUCCGACUGGUCUCCUGUUGACUCUUGUGCUUUUGCUCUACUCCAGCUUGAACUCUCACGCCACCCAUCCCCAAGUGCCUUCGCUGUUCCUAUGGGAGCUGAGAAAUACUGAAGGGAAGAUAAUUGCCAACCAGUCAACCACAGGGCAGCCUGUAUUCUCUUUUGAUCUGUGUGACUUGUUUGGGGCAAGCUGGACCGGUGCAAACUGGUCCAGCCUAAUUACUACGGACGGAGGGUGCGGCUCCACUGUUCUAGAGAGUCGCCUUUGGGACAGGCCCUAUUAUGUCUGUCCCAGGGAAGGCCGCCCCAGUGAGUGCAGAGGAGAGAAAUAUUUUUUCUGUGGCCUAUGGGGGGAAUGUUUGACAGCAUCUCCGGUGAAGGACGGUGAUAAACACUUGAUGUUUACAAGAGUGAUCCGCCCAGGCGCCCCGACUAAACAGGGUACUUGCAACAUAGGGGACUGCAACCCUGUGGAAGUGAAGGUUAAGACUUGGCAUGAAGCUGAAUCAUGGGUAGGAGGAAGAAUGUGGGGCAUCCGGAUAGUAUUCACAGGGAAAGAUCCAGGGGCGCUAUUCACUAUCCAAUUGCGGAUAAUACCAUGGACUCAAAAUUCAUGAGACCUGUUAUCUUAAAUAAGGACCCCCAGCCCAUGUUGACGACUCCUCCCACUGAGCCACCUGUCACCAAGUCUAAGACCUAUACUGGUCCACCCACACCUCCAUCAGCGCCUUGGUGGGGCCCAUAAUCAUUCUACUCCUGAUGUGUACCAUAGGACCCUACUUAUUAAAAUCAUUGACCUCCAUGAUCUGGAGACAAUCUGAGGCCCUAAGGUUAUACAUCCUUAGUGAGGCUUAUACGGAGGAAGAAGAGGUGGAUGAAUCAAGGAUUUGAUUCUUGGAUAAGACUAGUGGGGAAUGUAAGAUGGAAAAUUCCUUGCACUUUCCCCUUGAAAACAGGACCUGGGGAAGCAAUUACAGAAGCCAGACCUUCUACCUUCUGCAACCCACAAUGACCCUGGGUCCAUGCUCCCAGAGGGAUGGAAAAUGGGAAGGCUAUCAGGGGAGGGGGUGGGAUAUGGAGGUUGGGUGGUGGGAAUUGUGUGGAGUUGUACCCCUCCUACCCUAUGGUUUUGUUAAUUAAUCCUUUCUUAAAUAAAAAUAUAAAAUAAAUAAAAAGAAAAAGAAAA